rnacentral:rRNA from 1 species
CGCGUGGGAACAUGCCCUAAAGUCUGGGAUAACUAUUAGAAAUGAUAGCUAAUACCGGAUGGUCCCUUCGGGGUAAAGCUUUAGCGCUUUAGGAUUGGCCCGCGUUAGAUUAGGUAGUUGGUGAGGUAAUGGCUCACCAAGCCUACGAUCUAUAGCUGGUUUGAGAGGAUGAUCAGCAACACUGGAACUGAGACACGGUCCAGACUCCUACGGGAGGCAGCAGUGGGGAAUAUUGCGCAAAUGGAGGAAACUCUGACGCAGCCAUGCCGCGUGAGUGAAGAAGGCCUUAGGGUUGUAAAA